rnacentral:tRNA from 1 species
GCCUUUAUGGUUGAUUGGGAUUUAUUGAAUUGAACUUAAUUUUUUAUAAAUGUCGCUGUCUCUUAGGGGUU